AGUGAACGCUGGCGGUAGGCCUAACACAUGCAAGUCGAACGGCAGCACAGUAAGAGCUUGCUCUUACGGGUGGCGAGUGGCGGACGGGUGAGGAAUACAUCGGAAUCUACUUUUUCGUGGGGGAUAACGUAGGGAAACUUACGCUAAUACCGCAUACGACCUACGGGUGAAGGCAGGGGAUCUUCGGACCUUGCGCGAUUGAAUGAGCCGAUGUCGGAUUAGCUAGUUGGCGGGGUAAAGGCCCACCAAGGCGACGAUCCGUAGCUGGUCUGAGAGGAUGAUCAGCCACACUGGAACUGAGACACGGUCUAGACUCCUACGGGAGGCAGCAGUGGGGAAUAUUGGACAAUGGGCGCAAGCCUGAUCCAGCCAUACCGCGUGGGUGAAGAAGGCCUUCGGGUUGUAAAGCCCUUUUGUUGGGAAAGAAAAGCAGCAGGUUAAUACCCCGCUGUUCUGACGGUACCCAAAGAAUAAGCACCGGCUAACUUCGUG
rnacentral:rRNA from 1 species